GGAAUCUUAGACAAUGGGGGCAACCCUGAUCUAGCCAUGCCGCGUGAGUGAUGAAGGCCUUAGGGUUGUAAAGCUCUUUCAGCUGGGAAGAUAAUGACGGUACCAGCAGAAGAAGCCCCGGCUAACUCCGUGCCAGCAGCCGCGGUAAUACGGAGGGGGCUAGCGUUGUUCGGAAUUACUGGGCGUAAAGCGCACGUAGGCGGACUGGAAAGUCAGAGGUGAAAUCCCAGGGCUCAACCUUGGAACUGCCUUUGAAACUAUCAGUCUGGAGUUCGAGAGAGGUGAGUGGAAUUCCGAGUGUAGAGGUGAAAUUCGUAGAUAUUCGGAGGAACACCAGUGGCGAAGGCGGCUCACUGGCUCGAUACUGACGCUGAGGUGCGAAAGCGUGGGGAGCAAACAGGAUUAGAUACCCGAG
rnacentral:rRNA from 1 species